rnacentral:rRNA from 1 species
UACGUAGGGUGCAAGCGUUGUCCGGAAUUAUUGGGCGUAAAGAGCUCGUAGGCGGCUUGUCGCGUCGGCUGUGAAAACCUGGGGCUCAACCCCGGGCCUGCAGCCGAUACGGGCAAGCUAGAAUUCGGUAGGGGAGACUGGAAUUCCUGGUGUAGCGGUGAAAUGCGCAGAUAUCAGGAGGAACACCGGUGGCGAAGGCGGGACUCUGGGCCGAUACUGACGCUGAGGUGCGAAAGCGUGGGGAGCAAACAGG